CCUACGGGCGGCAGCAGUGGGGAAUAUUGCGCAAUGGGCGAAAGCCUGACGCAGCGACGCCGCGUGAGGGAUGAAGGUCUUCGGAUCGUAAACCUCUGUCAGCAGGGAAGAACGGUCACUGUGCUAAUCAGCACUGAAUUGACGGUACCUGCACAGGAAGCACCGUCUAACUCCGUGCCAGCCGCCGCUGUAAUACGGAGGGUGCGAGCGUUAAUCGGUAUUACUGGGCGUAAAGCGCUCGUAGGCGGUAUGUCAAGUCAAGGGUGAAAUCCCCGCGCUCAACGUGGGAACUGCCUUGGAAACUGGCAAACUGGAGUGUGUGAGAGGAUAGUGGAAUUCCAGGGGUAGGAGUGAAAUCCGUAGAUAUCUGGAGGAACAUCAGUGGCGAAGGCGACUAUCUGGCACAUAACUGACGCUGAGGAGCGAAAGCGUGGGUAGCAAACAGGAUUAGAGACCCCUGUAGUC
rnacentral:rRNA from 1 species